rnacentral:rRNA from 1 species
AGGACGAACGCUGGCGGCGUGCUUCACACAUGCAAGUCGAACGGGGCUCAUUCGGUGGUAACACCGGAGAAGGCCUAGUGGCGAACGGGUGCGUAACACGUGAAGAACCUGCCCCGAAGACUGGGAUAACAGCGGGAAACCGCUGCUAAUACCGGAUGACCCCACCAGGCCGCAUGGCCAGGUGAGGAAAUGGGCCUACCGCUUCGGGAGGGCUUCGCGGCCUAUCAGCUUGUUGGUGGGGUAACGGCCUACCAAGGCUACGACGGGUAGCUGGUCUGAGAGGACGACCAGCCACACUGGGACUGAGACACGGCCCAGACUCCUACGGGAGGCAGCAGUGGGGAAUCUUGCGCAAUGGGCGAAAGCCUGACGCAGCAACGCCGCGUGAGGGAUGAAGGUCUUCGGGUUGUAAACCUCUUUCGAGCAGGGACGAUUGUGACGGUACCUGCAGAAGAAGCUCCGGCAACUACGUGCCAGCAGCCGCGGU